rnacentral:rRNA from 1 species
UAAUACGGAGGAUCCAAGCGUUAUCCGGAAUCAUUGGGUUUAAAGGGUCCGUAGGUGGAUAAUUAAGUCAGAGGUGAAAGUUUGCAGCUCAACUGUAAAAUUGCCUUUGAAACUGGUUAUCUUGAGUUAUUAUGAAGUAGUUAGAAUAUGUAGUGUAGCGGUGAAAUGCAUAGAUAUUACAUAGAAUACCAAUUGCGAAGGCAGAUUACUAAUAAUCAACUGACACUGAUGGACGAAAGCGUGGGGAGCGAACAGGAUUAGAUACCCUGGUAGUCCACGCCGUAAACGAUGGUUACUAGCUGUUCGGACUUCGGUCUGAGUGGCUAAGCGAAAGUGAUAAGUAACCCACCUGGGGAGUACGUUCGCAAGGAUG